AGAGUUUGAUUAUGGCUCAGGAUGAACGCUGGCGGCGUGCCUAACACAUGCAAGUCGAACGGGUUAAGGGAAAUUUUCGGAUGGAACUUAACUUAGUGGCGGACGGGUGAGUAACGCGUGGAUAACCUGCCUCACACUGGGGGAUAGCAGCUGGAAACGGCUGGUAAUACCGCAUAAGACCACGGUGCCGCACGGCACAGGGGUAAAAGAUUUAUCGGUGUGAGAUGGAUCCGCGUCUGAUUAGCCAGUUGGCGGGUAACGGCCCACCAAAGCGACGAUCAGUAGCCGGCCUGAGAGGGUGAACGGCCACAUUGGGACUGAGACACGGCCCAAACUCCUACGGGAGGCAGCAGUGGGGAAUAUUGCACAAUGGGCGCAAGCCUGAUGCAGCAACGCCCGCGUGAGUGAAGAAGUAUUUCGGUAUGUAAAGCUCUAUCGGCAGGGAAGAAAGGCCCGAAAGGGAGAUGACGGUACCUGACUAAGAAGCCCCGGCUAACUACGUGCCAGCAGCCGC
rnacentral:rRNA from 1 species